UACGUAGGGGGCAAGCGUUGUCCGGAAUCAUUGGGCGUAAAGAGCGUGUAGGCGGCCAGAUAAGUCCGCUGUGAAAACUCGAGGCUCAACUUCGAGCUGUCGGUGGAAACUAUUUGGCUAGAGUCCGGUAGGGGAGUGUGGAACUCCUGGUGUAGCGGUGAAAUGCGCAGAUAUCAGGAAGAACACCAGCGGCGAAGGCGGCACUCUGGGCCGGAACUGACGCUGAGGAGCGAAAGCGUGGGUAGCAAACAGG
rnacentral:rRNA from 1 species